rnacentral:rRNA from 1 species
GGACUGGCGAUGGACGAGUCUUGUGGGAGGGAGCUGUCGAAGUGUAUUGGGCGUAAAGAGCUCGUAUGCAGGCGGCUUGUCAGCGUCGGUAGUCGUGUGAAUCGAAGAUCCCCGGGGCUUAAGCUUCGUUAGCAACCCCGGGUCUGCAGUCGAUACGGGCAGGCUAGAGUUCGGUAGGGGAGAUCGGAAUUCCAGCUGAUCGAUCUGGUGUAGCGGUGAAAUGCGCAGAUAUUCAGGAGGAACACCGGUGGCGAAGGCGGAUCUCGAUCGAUGAUCGGGCCGAUACUGACGCUGAGGAGCGGAAAGCGUGGGGAGCGAACAGGAUUAGAUACCCUGGAAGCUGAUCUAGUCCACGCCGUAAACGGUGGGCCACUAGGUGUUGGGCAACAUUCCACGUUGUCCGUGCCGAGCUGAUCCAGCUAACGCAUUAAGUGCCCCGACCUGGGGAGUUACGGCCGCAAGGCUAAAACUCAAAGGAAGCUGAUAUUGACGGGGGCCCGCACAAGCUGGCGGAGCAUGUGGCUUAAUUCGACGCAACGCGAAGAAAGCUGAUCCUUACCAAGGCUUGACAUACUACCGGAAACGGUCUGGAGACAGGCGCCCCCUUGUGGUCGGAUGCUAUGUACAGGUGGUGCAUGGCUGGUCGUCAGCUCGUGUCGUGAGAUGUUGGGUUAAAGGCUUAGUCGUCCCGCAACGAGCGCAACCCUUGUCCCGUGUUGACCACGCAAGCCCUUCGGGGAGCUGAUUGUUGGGGACUCACGGGAGACCGCCGGGGUCAACUCGGAGGAAGGUGGGGACGACAGCUGAUGUCAAGUCAUCAUGCCCCUUAUGUCUUGGGCUGCACACGUGCUACAAUGGGCCGGUAGCUACAAUGAGCUGCGAUACCGCGAGGUAGCUGAUCGGAGCGAAUCUCAAAAAGCCGGUCUCAGCUUCAGCUGGAUUGGGGUCUGCAACUCGACCCCAUGAAGCUGAUAGUCGGAGUCGCUAGUAGCUGAAUCGCAGAUCAGCAUUGCUGCGGUGAAUAGUUCCCGGGCCUUGUACACACCGCCAGCUCGUCACGUCACGAAAGUUCGGUAACACCCGAAGCCGGUGGCCCAACCCCUUGUGGGAGGGAGCUGUCGAAGUGGGACUGGCGAUGGACGAGUCGGCUUGUCAGCGUCGGUUGUGAAAGCCCGGGGCUUUAUUGGGCGUAAAGAGCUCGUAGGC